rnacentral:rRNA from 1 species
AGAGCGAACGCUGGCGGCAGGCCUAACACAUGCAAGUCGAGCGCCCGUAGCAAUACGGGAGCGGCAGACGGGAUAGUAACACGUGGGAACGCGCCCUUCGGUUCGGAAUAACUCAGGGAAACUUGAGCUAAUACCGGAUACGCCCUUACGGGGAAAGAUUUAUUGCCGAAGGAACGGCCCGCGUCCGAUUAGCUAGUUGGUGAGGUAAUGGCUCACCAAGGCGACGAUCGGUAGCUGGUCUGAGAGGAUGACCAGCAUCACUGGGACUGAGACACGGCCCAGACUCCUACGGGAGGCAGCAGUGGGGAAUAUUGGACAAUGGGCGCAAGCCUGAUCCAGCCAUGCCGCGUGGAUGAUGAAGGCCUUAGGGUUGUAAAGUCCUUUUAACGGGGAAGAUAAUGACGGUACCCGUAGAAUAAGCCCCGGCUAACUUCGUGCCAGUAGCCGC